rnacentral:rRNA from 1 species
AACGAACGCUGGCGGCAUGCCUAACACAUGCAAGUCGAGCGAAGGCUUCGGCCUUAGUGGCGCACGGGUGCGUAACGCGUGGGAAUCUGCCCUUAGGUUCGGAAUAACAGUUAGAAAUGACUGCUAAUACCGGAUGAUGACGUAAGUCCAAAGAUUUAUCGCCUGAGGAUGAGCCCGCGUAGGAUUAGCUAGUUGGUGUGGUAAAGGCGCACCAAGGCGACGAUCCUUAGCUGGUCUGAGAGGAUGAUCAGCCACACUGGGACUGAGACACGGCCCAGACUCCUACGGGAGGCAGCAGUGGGGAAUAUUGGACAAUGGGCGCAAGCCUGAUCCAGCAAUGCCGCGUGAGUGAUGAAGGCCUUAGGGUUGUAAAGCUCUUUUACCCGUGAUGAUAAUGACAGUAGCGGGAGAAUAAGCCCCGGCUAACUCCGUG